ACACAAAUGAUGGUAAUAAAAUAUAAUUGUGAAUAUUAUUAUUUACCCACGUCAUAUUGUUUGUCAGAGUAGCCCCGCUCACAGGUCACGUGGCGGAUGGACUCGCAAAUGUAAUAUCCACAGUAAUCAUUCCCUGGUUCCUGCCACAACCAGUUUACAAGAAAUAGAGGUCAAUCAAAGUGAUAGUUAGCAAGCAUGAUAAAUGGUAUUGAUGAAACUAGC
rnacentral:lncRNA from 1 species